UACGUAGGGGGCAAGCGUUGUCCGGAUUUAUUGGGCGUAAAGAGCGUGUAGGCGGCCAGGUAGGUCUGCUGUGAAAACUCGAGGCUUAACCUCGAGAGGUCGGUGGAAACCAUCUGGCUAGAGUCCGGAAGAGGAGAGUGGAAUUCCUGGUGUAGCGGUGAAAUGCGCAGAUAUCAGGAAGAACACCCGUGGCGAAGGCGGCUCUCUGGGACGGUACUGACGCUGAGACGCGAAAGCGUGGGGAGCGAACAGG
rnacentral:rRNA from 1 species